rnacentral:lncRNA from 1 species
UACUUUAAAAAAAAAAAAAAAUCAAUAGAAAGUAAUAGAAAGUAGAAUUCCUGAGCCUGGCAGAAAGUAAUUCGCUGUUUUCUGUAGGCAAGUCUUCAAAAGUCAAAGAAAAUUUGUCCAAUUGAUGAUUCGGGAGCUCAAAAAAAGGAAUUUCUUUUUCGCUUUUAAACCUGUUUGCAUAGGCUCGUGCACUGAUUUACGUUCAAUAAUCCCAGGGGCUUCAUCUAAGUAGAGUGAAAGAUGGUCCUGCCCUCCUAUUUGAUUCAGGCAGUCGUCUGAAAGUGCUCACUGGGCUUCAGAGCCCAUAUGCUUAACACAGGAAAUUCGCAGCAAAGAGAGCGAGUGAGGGAGUAGGUAGGGGGGAGACCCUAACCGAGAGAGGAUCCACGGCAGCUACAGGAAACCAGAGCCAGCGCCUGGGAGUUUCACCUUCACCUGGAAUCAAGCUUUGACGGAGCGGCGCACGCAACCUCGGUCAUCUCGUCAUUGGUAGAUAGUUGUUUCCACCAUCGGACC